UACAGAGGGUGCGAGCGUUAAUCGGAGUUACUGGGCGUAAAGGGCGCGUAGGCGGUUAAAUGAGUGUGAUGUGAAAGCCCCGGGCUUAACCUGGGAAGUGCAUCGCAAACGAUAUAACUGGAGUACAAGAGAGGGUGGCGGAAUUUCCGGUGUAGCAGUGAAAUGCGUAGAGAUGUGGAGGAACACCGAUGGCGAAGGCAGCCCCCUGGGCUAACACUGACGCUCAGGCACGAAAGCGUGGGGAGCAAACAGG
rnacentral:rRNA from 1 species